AUUGAACGCUGGCGGCAGGCCUAACACAUGCAAGUCGAACGGUAACAGGAAGCAGCUUGCUGCUCCGCUGACGAGUGGCGGACGGGUGAGUAAUGUCUGGGAAGCUGCCUGAUGGAGGGGGAUAACUACUGGAAACGGUAGCUAAUACCGCAUAAUGUCGCAAGACCAAAGAGGGGGACCUUCGGGCCUCUUGCCAUCGGAUGAGCCCAGAUGGGGUCAGCUUGUUGGUGGGGUAACGGCUGACCAAGGCGACGAUCCCUAGCUGGUCUGAGAGGAUGACCAGCCACACUGGAACUGAGACACGGUCCAGACUCCUACGGGAGGCAUCAGUGGGGAAUAUUGCACAAUGGGCGAAAGCCUGAUGCAGCCCUGCCGCGUGUAUGAAGAAGGCCUUCGGGUUGUAAAGUACUUUAAGCGGGGAGGAAGGGAGUAAAGUUAAUACCUGUGCUCAUUGACGUUACCCGCAGAAGAAGCACCGGCUAACUCCGUG
rnacentral:rRNA from 1 species